GUAAAGUUAUAUGAUAACUUAAAAAAAAUCAGCAACAGUGACAAUAUAAAGUGAUCUUUCUUCUGAUAAAGGCAGGUCUCCUUUAUCACUGCUUUAAGUCUCCUCCCCUUCUGUAUCUCCUUGUUUCUUGUUCAUUGGGAUGUUUCUCAGCCUAGCAAGGAGAAUACUACCUAUUCUUUCCUUCCUUCCUGAAUUGGGUUAUUUUUCUCUCUAGUUGAGAAGCUGGCCACCAAUAAUGAACUUAGCAUUUCCUCCGUUGUAAGACAAGAACACUAGUAGGGCUGUGUUUACAAUAAUUGGACUGGUUACAGGACAGUUUUGAGUACUACCUGUGAUGAUGCAGGCAAAUUACUUACUGCAGUGCCCCACACAUAUAGACACCUCACAACCAGAAAACCUAGAAUAUUCUAUGACCCAAACAGUCUAAUGUGGGACCAGGUCACACACAUGGCCCUGCCAAAAGAGGCCUGGCUUGCAUUUAGCGAGAAAGAGAAAAGUCCAGGUGCAAAGGCAACAUGAUAGCAGGGUGGGGGUCACUGCUUGGAUCACUGCUUACAGGUGUUAUGUUUCACUUGAUCAUGUCCCUCUUGUUCAGCUAGCAACCAUUCUGUUCUUGCAGGAGGGGAAACUGGGCUCGCUACUCUCAUUCCAAAAUGAAAGUAAAGGGACUUCCCUGGUGGUCCACUGGCUAAGACGCCAUAUUCCACUGGGAGCCUGGCUUCAGUCCCUGGUGUGGGAACUAGAUCAUACACGCCACAGUUAAGACCUGACACAGACAAAUAAAUAAAGAAGGAAAAAGAAAACCAAAGUAGAAACUAUAGCCUACAUGAGCCACAAGAAUAUUAGUCACCUGAUCACUGGGAAUUUGGAACUGACUCUGUAGCAGUCUGAGAAUUGGUGAACCAGCUGAACAGGGUCUUCCUUGACCCUCAAAUGACGUCCUAAUUGAGAGAAUGUCUCUAUCUGCUGCUGUGGAAGAUGUUGCUUUGGUACGUAAAUGUAUAAUCUCUAUCUUAUUGUAUUAGUAGAGAGCUGUAUCAGGGCAACACUACCUGCUCUAAACCUCAGCGGUUUAACACAUAGAAGGUCAUUUCUCUUUCAUUUUGGAUUCAAAACUGGUGUUCUCAGUUGGUGGGUAACUCCCUUCCCAGUUG
rnacentral:lncRNA from 1 species